GGCGUGGCGUACUUGACCCGCUCCGGUUACGGUAGUGAGUGUCGAUGUGUGCCUGCCAUCCUUCUGAAGAACGGUUCUGCCCUUCACUGGGUUGGAAUCGCUAUUCGGAUCUUUUACUUUGAAAAAAUUAGAGUGUUUAAAGCAGGCUUGCGCUAUGAAUACAUUAGCAUGGAAUAAUAAUUUAGGACUUUCGUCCUAUUUUGUUGGUUUAUAGGGUGGAAGUA
rnacentral:rRNA from 1 species